rnacentral:rRNA from 1 species
AGAGUUUGAUCCUGGCUCAGGAUGAACGCUGGCGGCGUGCCUAAUACAUGCAAGUCGAGCGAACUGACGAGGAGCUUGCUCCUUUGACGUUAGCGGCGGACGGGUGAGUAACACGUGGGUAACCUACCUAUAAGACUGGAAUAACUCCGGGAAACCGGGGCUAAUGCCGGAUAACAUGUUGAACCGCAUGGUUCAACAGUGAAAGACGGUCUUGCUGUCACUUAUAGAUGGACCCGCGCCGUAUUAGCUAGUUGGUAAGGUAACGGCUUACCAAGGCGACGAUACGUAGCCGACCUGAGAGGGUGAUCGGCCACACUGGAACUGAGACACGGUCCAGACUCCUACGGGAGGCAGCAGUAGGGAAUCUUCCGCAAUGGGCGAAAGCCUGACGGAGCAACGCCGCGUGAGUGAUGAAGGUCUUCGGAUCGUAAAGCUCUGUUGUUAGGGAAGAACAUAUGUGUAAGUAACUGUGCACAUCUUGACGGUACCUAACCAGAAAGCCACGGCUAACUACGUGCCAGCAGCCGCGGUAAUACGUAGGUGGCAAGCGUUAUCCGGAAUUAUUGGGCGUAAAGCGCGCGUAGGCGGUUUUUUAAGUCUGAUGUGAAAGCCCACGGCUCAACCGUGGAGGGUCAUUGGAAACUGGAAAACUUGAGUGCAGAAGAGGAAAGUGGAAUUCCAUGUGUAGCGGUGAAAUGCGCAGAGAUAUGGAGGAACACCAGUGGCGAAGGCGGCUUUCUGGUCUGUAACUGACGCUGAGGUGCGAAAGCGUGGGGAUCAAACAGGAUUAGAUACCCUGGUAGUCCACGCCGUAAACGAUGAGUGCUAAGUGUUAGGGGGUUUCCGCCCCUUAGUGCUGCAGCUAACGCAUUAAGCACUCCGCCUGGGGAGUACGGUCGCAAGACUGAAACUCAAAGGAAUUGACGGGGACCCGCACAAGCGGUGGAGCAUGUGGUUUAAUUCGAAGCAACGCGAAGAACCUUACCAAAUCUUGACAUCUUUUGACCGCUCUAGAGAUAGAGUUUUCCUCUUCGGAGGAAAAUGACAGGUGGUGCAUGGUUGUCGUCAGCUCGUGUCGUGAGAUGUUGGGUUAAGUCCCGCAACGAGCGCAACCCUUAAGCUUAGUUGCCAUCAUUAAGUUGGGCACUCUAAGUUGACUGCCGGUGACAAACCGGAGGAAGGUGGGGAUGACGUCAAAUCAUCAUGCCCCUUAUGAUUUGGGCUACACACGUGCUACAAUGGACAAUACAAAGGGCAGCGAAACCGCGAGGUCAAGCAAAUCCCAUAAAGUUGUUCUCAGUUCGGAUUGUAGUCUGCAACUCGACUACAUGAAGCUGGAAUCGCUAGUAAUCGUAGAUCAGCAUGCUACGGUGAAUACGUUCCCGGGUCUUGUACACACCGCCCGUCACACCACGAGAGUUUGUAACACCCGAAGCCGGUGGAGUAACCAUUUUGGAGCUAGCCGUCGAAGGUGGGACAAAUGAUUGGGGUGAAGUCGUAACAAGGUAACC